AAUGAACGCUGGCGGCGUGCCUAAUACAUGCAAGUCGAACGAAGUGGCGCACGGGUGAGUAAUAUAUAGUUAAUCUGCCCUAUACAGAGGAAUAUCAGUUGGGAACGGCUGCUAAUACCUCAUAGUGUAGGAGGAGACUAUUGCGUAUCAGCUAGUUGGUAAGGUAAUGGCGUUCGAAGGCUAUGACGCGUAACUGGUCUGAGAGGGUGAGCAGUAAAAUUGGAACUGAGACACGGUACAAACUCCUACGGGAGGGAGCAGUAAGGAAUAUUGCGCAAUGGGGGGAACCCUGACGCAGCAACGCCGCGUGGGGGAUGACAAUUUUCGGAGCGUAAACUCCUUUUAUCAGGAAAGCGGUACCGGAGGAAUAAGCACCGGCUAACUCCGGGCCAGCAGCCGCGGUAAUAC
rnacentral:rRNA from 1 species